AAGUCGUAACAAGGUUUCCGUAGGUGAACCUGCGGAAGGAUCAUUAACACGUUAUCCAACGUAUCAAACUAACCGUGCACUAAUAGCUCCCUAGCGUAUAAGUUUAGUAGCCCAUGCGAUUCUGAUGGGCGAGCGGCCUCGGCUGCUCGCGGUCAAGUGGUGCUGAAGGUUUGACCUUAAGGCUAAGAAUUUACGUUAGGCUAUCCCCAAUUCUGACUCAUCAUCCCAUCAGGGGUGAGACGGAAUGACUUACUAUAUUCACAUUUUUACUACAUUUGGCUAAUAGGAUUCUCUUGGGGUGACCCUUGUAGAAGACUAAGUUUAUCUAAACUAAGUACAACUCUUAGCAAUGGAUAUCUUGGUUCUC
rnacentral:misc_RNA from 1 species